GGAAACGAAGUCGGAAAGCAGAUUUAAAUCAAUUUUGGAGCGUUAGUUCUGUUUGUCGGUACUGUGAGGGAACGUUGUUAUCGAAGAGGUUUGGAUGUUAAAACAAACUCUGGAGCUGCUUUUCUUGUCGAACUUGAGUGAGACUGGACGCUGAACACACCUUCGGCGUGAAGGUUCAGCUGCUGCAGCCUGGACAGAAACACCAGCUCUCACCUGACAAACCAAACAGGUUCCUCUUUGAUUUCCUCCAGGUGUCACCACUUCCUCUAUGACGUUAUCCACGAUCACACAGACAUGGUUCAUGAUGGGAGAGACAUUGUCCGCGAUCACAAAGAAAUAGUCCACGAUCACCAAGACGUCGUCCAUGAUCACAGAGAUGAAGAAGUUCUUUGAGACCAGGACAGAGGCCUCCAGGUGUCACCACUUUGUCCACAACAUCGUCCACAAUUGCUGAGACGUCGUCCAUCAUCGGAGAGACAUUGUUGAAGAUGAGGGAGACAUCGUCCACGAUCAGAGACAUUGUCUGUGACUCGUGGUGACUCAGUCCCCGAUUAGUCGGCAUUGCCGGCGUUCAUGGAGACAUUGUCGAUGAUCGCAGAGACUUUGUCCAUGAUCUCAGAGACAUUGUCCGUGAUCACUGAGAGUCUUCAGUGAAGUUCUUUGAGACCAGGACAGAGGCCUCCAGGUGUCACCACUUCGUCCACGACAUCGUCCACAAUUGCUGAGACGUCGUCCAUGAUCGGAGAGACAUUGUUGAGGAUGAGGGAGACAUCGUCCACAAUCAGAGACAUUGUCCGUGACUCGUGGUGACUCGGUCCCCGAUAAGUCGGCAUUGCCGGCGUUCAUGGAGACAUUGUCGAUGAUCGCGGAGACUUUGUCCAUAAUCUCAGAGACAUUGUCCGCGAUCACAGAGACGACGUCCACGAUCGCAGAGACAUGGUCCACGAUCGGAGAGACAUUGUUGAGGAUGAGGGAGACAUCGUCCACGAUCAGAGACGUUGUCCGUGAUCGCAGAGACCUUGUCAAAGAUGAGAGAGACGUUGUCCAUGGUCAGAGACAUUGUCGCUGCUUCGCAGAGCUCUGCGCAAGAGUCGGUAGUGACACUGUGGUUCCUCGAUUCGACGGCAUGACCGCGAUCAGCUGACAUUGUUAAUGAUCACAGAGAAACAGUCUAUCAUCUGAGACUUGGUCCACGAUCACAGAUAUAUUGUCAAUGAUCGCAGAGACUUUGUUCAUAAUCUCAGAGACAUUGUCCGCGAUCACAGAGACGUAGUCCAUGAUCACAGAAGACCAGGUGUCACCACUUCGUCUACGACAUCGUCCACGAUCGCUGAGCCGUCGUCCACGAUCGGAGAGACAUUGUUGAGGAUGAGGGAGACAUCGUCCACGAUCAGAGACAUUGUCCGUGACUCGUGGUGACUCGGUCCCCGAUUAGUCGGCAUUGCCGGCGUUCAUGGAGACAUUGUCAAUGAUCGCUGAGACUUUGUCCAUGAUCUCAGAGACAUUGUCCGCAAUCACAGAGACGACGUCCACGAUCGCAGAGUCAUGGUCCACAAUCGCAGAGACUUCAGUGAAGUUCUUUGAGACCAGGAUAGAGGCCUCCAGGUGUCACCACUUCGUCCACGACAUCGUCCACAAUUGCUGAGACGUCGUCCAUGAUCGGAGAGACAUUGUUGAGGAUGAGGGAGACAUCGUCCACGAUCAGAGACAUUGUCCGUGACUCGUGGUGACUCGGUCCCCGAUAAGUCGGCAUUGCCGGCGUUCAUGGAGACAUUGUCGAUGAUCGCGGAGACUUUGUCCAUAAUCUCAGAGACAUUGUCCGCGAUCACAGAGACGACGUCCACGAUCGCAGAGACAUGGUCCACGAUCGGAGAGACAUUGUUGAGGAUGAGGGAGACAUCGUCCACGAUCAGAGACGUUGUCCGUGAUCGCAGAGACCUUGUCAAAGAUGAGAGAGACGUUGUCCAUGGUCAGAGACAUUGUCGCUGCUUCGCAGAGCUCUGCGCAAGAGUCGGUAGUGACACUGUGGUUCCUCGAUUCGACGGCAUGACCGCGAUCAGCUGACAUUGUUAAUGAUCACAGAGAAACAGUCUAUCAUCAGAGACUUGGUCCACGAUCACAGAUAUAUUGUCAAUGAUCGCAGAGACUUUGUUCAUAAUCUCAGAGACAUUGUCCGCGAUCACAGAGACGUAGUCCAUGAUCACAGAAGACCAGGUGUCACCACUUCGUCUACGACAUCGUCCACGAUCGCUGAGCCGUCGUCCACGAUCGGAGAGACAUUGUUGAGGAUGAGGGAGACAUCGUCCACGAUCAGAGACAUUGUCCGUGACUCGUGGUGACUCGGUCCCCGAUUAGUCGGCAUUGCCGGCGUUCAUGGAGACAUUGUCAAUGAUCGCUGAGACUUUGUCCAUGAUCUCAGAGACAUUGUCCGCGAUCACAGAGACGACGUCCACGAUCGCAGAGUCAUGGUCCACAAUCGCAGAGACUUCAGUGAAGUUCUUUGAGACCAGGAUAGAGGCCUCCAGGUGUCACCACUUCGUCCACGACAUCGUCCACAAUUGCUGAGACGUCGUCCAUGAUCGGAGAGACAUUGUUGAGGAUGAGGGAGACAUCGUCCACGAUCAGAGACAUUGUCCGUGACUCGUGGUGACUCGGUCCCCGAUAAGUCGGCAUUGCCGGCGUUCAUGGAGACAUUGUCGAUGAUCGCGGAGACUUUGUCCAUAAUCUCAGAGACAUUGUCCGCGAUCACAGAGACGACGUCCACGAUCGCAGAGACAUGGUCCACGAUCGGAGAGACAUUGUUGAGGAUGAGGGAGACAUCGUCCACGAUCAGAGACGUUGUCCGUGAUCGCAGAGACCUUGUCAAAGAUGAGAGAGACGUUGUCCAUGGUCAGAGACAUUGUCGCUGCUUCGCAGAGCUCUGCGCAAGAGUCGGUAGUGACACUGUGGUUCCUCGAUUCGACGGCAUGACCGCGAUCAGCUGACAUUGUUAAUGAUCACAGAGAAACAGUCUAUCAUCAGAGACUUGGUCCACGAUCACAGAUAUAUUGUCAAUGAUCGCAGAGACUUUGUUCAUAAUCUCAGAGACAUUGUCCGCGAUCACAGAGACGUAGUCCAUGAUCACAGAAGACCAGGUGUCACCACUUCGUCUACGACAUCGUCCACGAUCGCUGAGCCGUCGUCCACGAUCGGAGAGACAUUGUUGAGGAUGAGGGAGACAUCGUCCACGAUCAGAGACAUUGUCCGUGACUCGUGGUGACUCGGUCCCCGAUUAGUCGGCAUUGCCGGCGUUCAUGGAGACAUUGUCAAUGAUCGCUGAGACUUUGUCCAUGAUCUCAGAGACAUUGUCCGCGAUCACAGAGACGACGUCCACGAUCGCAGAGUCAUGGUCCACAAUCGCAGAGACUUCAGUGAAGUUCUUUGAGACCAGGAUAGAGGCCUCCAGGUGUCACCACUUCGUCCACGACAUCGUCCACAAUUGCUGAGACGUCGUCCAUGAUCGGAGAGACAUUGUUGAGGAUGAGGGAGACAUCGUCCACGAUCAGAGACAUUGUCCGUGACUCGUGGUGACUCGGUCCCCGAUAAGUCGGCAUUGCCGGCGUUCAUGGAGACAUUGUCGAUGAUCGCGGAGACUUUGUCCAUAAUCUCAGAGACAUUGUCCGCGAUCACAGAGACGACGUCCACGAUCGCAGAGACAUGGUCCACGAUCGGAGAGACAUUGUUGAGGAUGAGGGAGACAUCGUCCACGAUCAGAGACGUUGUCCGUGAUCGCAGAGACCUUGUCAAAGAUGAGAGAGACGUUGUCCAUGGUCAGAGACAUUGUCGCUGCUUCGCAGAGCUCUGCGCAAGAGUCGGUAGUGACACUGUGGUUCCUCGAUUCGACGGCAUGACCGCGAUCAGCUGACAUUGUUAAUGAUCACAGAGAAACAGUCUAUCAUCAGAGACUUGGUCCACGAUCACAGAUAUAUUGUCAAUGAUCGCAGAGACUUUGUUCAUAAUCUCAGAGACAUUGUCCGCGAUCACAGAGACGUAGUCCAUGAUCACAGAAGACCAGGUGUCACCACUUCGUCUACGACAUCGUCCACGAUCGCUGAGCCGUCGUCCACGAUCGGAGAGACAUUGUUGAGGAUGAGGGAGACAUCGUCCACGAUCAGAGACAUUGUCCGUGACUCGUGGUGACUCGGUCCCCGAUUAGUCGGCAUUGCCGGCGUUCAUGGAGACAUUGUCAAUGAUCGCUGAGACUUUGUCCAUGAUCUCAGAGACAUUGUCCGCGAUCACAGAGACGACGUCCACGAUCGCAGAGUCAUGGUCCACAAUCGCAGAGACUUCAGUGAAGUUCUUUGAGACCAGGAUAGAGGCCUCCAGGUGUCACCACUUCGUCCACGACAUCGUCCACAAUUGCUGAGACGUCGUCCAUGAUCGGAGAGACAUUGUUGAGGAUGAGGGAGACAUCGUCCACGAUCAGAGACAUUGUCCGUGACUCGUGGUGACUCGGUCCCCGAUAAGUCGGCAUUGCCGGCGUUCAUGGAGACAUUGUCGAUGAUCGCGGAGACUUUGUCCAUAAUCUCAGAGACAUUGUCCGCGAUCACAGAGACGACGUCCACGAUCGCAGAGACAUGGUCCACGAUCGGAGAGACAUUGUUGAGGAUGAGGGAGACAUCGUCCACGAUCAGAGACGUUGUCCGUGAUCGCAGAGACCUUGUCAAAGAUGAGAGAGACGUUGUCCAUGGUCAGAGACAUUGUCGCUGCUUCGCAGAGCUCUGCGCAAGAGUCGGUAGUGACACUGUGGUUCCUCGAUUCGACGGCAUGACCGCGAUCAGCUGACAUUGUUAAUGAUCACAGAGAAACAGUCUAUCAUCUGAGACUUGGUCCACGAUCACAGAUAUAUUGUCAAUGAUCGCAGAGACUUUGUUCAUAAUCUCAGAGACAUUGUCCGCGAUCACAGAGACGACGUCCACGAUCGCAGAGUCAUGGUCCACAAUCGCAGAGACUUCAGUGAAGUUCUUUGAGACCAGGAUAGAGGCCUCCAGGUGUCACCACUUCGUCCACGACAUCGUCCACAAUUGCUGAGACGUCGUCCAUGAUCGGAGAGACAUUGUUGAGGAUGAGGGAGACAUCGUCCACGAUCAGAGACAUUGUCCGUGACUCGUGGUGACUCGGUCCCCGAUAAGUCGGCAUUGCCGGCGUUCAUGGAGACAUUGUCGAUGAUCGCGGAGACUUUGUCCAUAAUCUCAGAGACAUUGUCCGCGAUCACAGAGACGACGUCCACGAUCGCAGAGACAUGGUCCACGAUCGGAGAGACAUUGUUGAGGAUGAGGGAGACAUCGUCCACGAUCAGAGACGUUGUCCGUGAUCGCAGAGACCUUGUCAAAGAUGAGAGAGACGUUGUCCAUGGUCAGAGACAUUGUCGCUGCUUCGCAGAGCUCUGCGCAAGAGUCGGUAGUGACACUGUGGUUCCUCGAUUCGACGGCAUGACCGCGAUCAGCUGACAUUGUUAAUGAUCACAGAGAAACAGUCUAUCAUCUGAGACUUGGUCCACGAUCACAGAUAUAUUGUCAAUGAUCGCAGAGACUUUGUUCAUAAUCUCAGAGACAUUGUCCGCGAUCACAGAGACGUAGUCCAUGAUCACAGAAGACCAGGUGUCACCACUUCGUCUACGACAUCGUCCACGAUCGCUGAGCCGUCGUCCACGAUCGGAGAGACAUUGUUGAGGAUGAGGGAGACAUCGUCCACGAUCAGAGACAUUGUCCGUGACUCGUGGUGACUCGGUCCCCGAUUAGUCGGCAUUGCCGGCGUUCAUGGAGACAUUGUCAAUGAUCGCUGAGACUUUGUCCAUGAUCUCAGAGACAUUGUCCGCGAUCACUGAGAGUCUUCAGUGAAGUUCUUUGAGACCAGGACAGAGGCCUCCAGGUGUCACCACUUCGUCCACGACAUCGUCCACAAUUGCUGAGACGUCGUCCAUGAUCGGAGAGACAUUGUUGAGGAUGAGGGAGACAUCGUCCACGAUCAGAGACAUUGUCCGUGACUCGUGGUGACUCGGUCCCCGAUAAGUCGGCAUUGCCGGCGUUCAUGGAGACAUUGUCGAUGAUCGCGGAGACUUUGUCCAUAAUCUCAGAGACAUUGUCCGCGAUCACAGAGACGACGUCCACGAUCGCAGAGACAUGGUCCACGAUCGGAGAGACAUUGUUGAGGAUGAGGGAGACAUCGUCCACGAUCAGAGACGUUGUCCGUGAUCGCAGAGACCUUGCUAAAGAUGAGAGAGCCGAUGUCCACCAUUUGCAGAGACAUAUACAAUGGUUGGAGACUUGAGUCACUGAUUUUAUGGUAUUGCCCGCAUUUGGUAGUCUGUAUUAAUUGAAGUAAUUUAAAAGUAAUUAGCAAUAUCAGAAGCAAUAGUCAAAGUCUGUUACUAGAUCUAGUUUGCAACAGUAAAAAUUAUCUGUAAAUUUUGAAGUAAUAAGAAAUGAGAAAAGUAAUAUGUAAUGGUGAAAAUAAUCUAUUAUUAGAGGUAGCAGUGAGAGUGAUUUAAAAGAAAAAAAUACAAUAAAAAAUGUCAUGUUAUAGUAAAGAAUCAAAAAAUGUAUGAGAAAUGUCAGUUUAGCAAGCUUCAAAAACGUGAUAAAAUGGUCUGUCUAUACCAGGGGUCAGCAACCUUUACCACUCAAAGAGCCAUCUGGACCCGUUUCCCACAGUAAAGAAAACACUGGGAGCCACAAAACCCUUUUGACAUUUAAAACACUGCAUAUAAUGGUUAGUUUUAUAAUAAUAAUAAUGUGUUGCAUUUUUGAAAUCAAUGAACGACUGCAGAGAAAACAAAAUUACAUUUCUGCAUGAAACAAAAAACAUUUUGAAUUCCGAAAAAAGGCGUUGGGUUGAAGCUUUCAAGUAAAAUACUCAAUGUCCAUUUGAGUCCUUCUUGUACUUAUGAAAAAAACUCCGAACCUAAAUUAUCCACCGGCAGCAAACCAAAAAUGCCAUCCUCUCUCUGUGUGCCGUCAUCCUUUUACUGGCGCGUGCAGUCAGCUGUCAACCUGAAUAAUAAAAGGACUAUUUCACUGAAUGAAAAAAUAUGAAUAUAUGCAAAAUAAUAGGCAAUUAAUAUAUUUAUCAUACUUGGUUAAUGUAAUUUCUGCUCCUGAACCUCAGCGCACAGCAUCUGCACAUCAGGGCUGUAUGCCGUCACCUUCAUCUUUACACAGGAUCGUAAGCUGUCAUCUGUGAGGCGUGCGUGAUGUUUGCUUUUAAUAAAAUUCAUGUUGGAAAACACCUGCUCACAUACAUAUGUGGAUCCAAAGAUCGACAGGACUCCAAGUGCAUACUUUUUCAUGUUCACAUAAACGUUGGGGAUAGCAUUCCAAGUUUCGAACACAAGUUUGUCUGGUUUGGGGAGGUUUUCAAUAUCACGCCAUUUGUGACUCUGAGCGAGAACGGCCUUCUGAUGGGCAACAUCUUCAGGGUCUGCUGUCAGGCGUUUAAACUUGGACACCCAUAUGUCUUUGUCGGCUAUGUCGGCCAGUUCCAUCUCAAGAUCAGGUUGACUCACACCUGCCAAUGCAGUCGUAUUCAGCAGGGAUGGAUCGAGGUUCAGGGGACAGGGAAGGAUAAUGUGGUUUUUUCCUCUCUGAACUCACAGAAUCGCUUCCCAAACGAUGUUUGCAUUGUGAUGAUUGCAGAAUGUAGAUACUCCGAAUUUAUCACGUGAGCUUCUUUGGACUCUUUCAGAUUGGGGAAGUGUGACAGUGUACCUUUCUGUAAAUCUCUGGCAAGCACUGUCAACUUGCGCUCGAAUGCCAAAACCUCCUCCAACAUGUGCAGGGCUGUGCGUCCUUUCCCCUGAAGAGCUGUGUUCAGCGUGUUCAGGUGCACUGUCAUGUCUACCAUGAAGUGUAGCUUUUCCAGCCACUCUGGCUGUUCCAGCUCAGGAAAUGUGAGCCCUUUGCUGCCCAGGAAAGUUUUCACUUCUUCCAGACACGUGGCGAAGCAUUUCAGCACCUCCCCUCUGGACAGCCACCGGACUUUGUUGUGCAGCAGGAGAUCAGAAUAUGUGCUUUCCAGCUCGUCCAGUAAAGAACGGAACUGACGGUGAUUUAAACCUUUUGCCAUUAUUUUACUGACAAUCUGAAUGACAACAUUCAUUACUUCUGUGCAUUCUGGAGGAAAUGUUUGAGCACAGAGUGCCUCUUGGUGCAGGAUGCAGUGAAAAGUCAGCAGCUUUCUGUCCAGUGACUUCUGCGGUCCUGUCAUACUUGGUGCCCCAUCAGUAGCCACUGACACCAGGUGGGUGGUGUUUAUUCCUUUGGCUCUUAAACAAUUCAAGACAGCCUCACAGAUGUCCUUCCCCCCGUGUUUGGCCUUUUAGCGGUAUCAGCUCAAUCAUUUCUUCCUGUGGCCCAGCAGAGUUUACAUACCGGCAGAACAGCGCUAUUUGUUCAAUAUCACUUUUGUCUUUGGAUGCAUCACAGGCAAUUGAGUAGGCCACAGCUGAAUUGAUGUCUUUAAUUUGCUGUCUGGUGAUGUCUUCUGCCAUUUUUAUGGUUCUAUCUUUGGACAGUCUUUGCAGAGAGGGGCAUAUCCCUGAUUUUCUUCACAAUUUCACUUUUGUUUUUAAAGUGUGAAUAGAUGUUCUGAAAUCUUAAUGAAAGAUUCUUUUAUAUAUUGGCCAUCUGUGAACGGCUUCCCAUGCCUGACUAUUUCCUGAGCGGCUACAAAACUAGCAUAUGUACCUGAAUUUGCAGACAUCAUCCACUUCUUGAGGUGAUUUUUGCUCAGAUCAACCUUCCGCAUCUGUUCCGAAACAGCUUUUUUUCUCUUAUCUCCAUCCGGAUAUUUUUGAGCAAAGACUGCGUGUUUAUUCUGGAAAUGUCUUGCAACAUUUGACUUUUUGUUGUUUGCUAGUUUCUCAUUACUUACCAGCAAACUGGUAAACCAGUCUUGUCGGCAGUGAAAGCAAAUGAAUCUGCCCACGUAGCAUUGAACGUUCUGUUUUCUUCAGACACUUUUCUUAGAAUUAUCCAUAGUUGGCCUACCUGGGGUUCGAAAAGUUCAAGAAAUCACGCGCUGAAGGGUGUCGCACAUUGGCGGUUGUGAUGCAUAUUAAGAGCGACAAAAAUUUUUAACACAUUUUAUUUAGAUGUUACAAGAUCACCAUAAUCUUCAAAUUUAGAAUUACAUUUUUAAAAACAAAUGAACUAAAAUAAAAUACAUUUUAAUUAAAUACUCAUUAAUCAUUUUCAAAAGCCACAGGGAGCUGCAUGCUGCUCCGGAGUCGUGGGUUGCCAGCCUCAACAAUUUUAUAAAAAUGUCAUAGUAUAGGAUGUUGUCAAAAAUAUGAUAAAAAUGUCACAGCAAAGCAUGUCGUCAAAAACGUGAUAAAAAGUCAGAAUAGCAUGGCAUCAAAAAUGUGAUUAAAAUGUUACAGUAUAGGAUGUCAAAUAUCGAAUCAAAAGGGCAUAUAGCAUGUGGUCAAAAACGUCAUAGUAUAGCAUGUUAUCAAAAAUGUGAUAAAAAUGCCACAGCAUAGGAUGUCGUCAAAUAUCUGAUCAAACAGUCGUAUAGCAUGUCAUGAAAAAUGUGAUAAAGAUGUUAGCUUGUAGCAUUGACAAAAAUAUGAUAGAAAUGUCACAGUAUAACAUGUUGUCAAAAAUGUGAUAAAGUCAUAGUAUAGCAUGUCGUGAAAAUGUAUUAAAGUGACAAAUGCGCUAAAAAUUUAAUAAUAUAGAACGUCAACAAAAAUACAGUAUAGCAUGUCGCCAAAAAUGUAAUAAAAAUGUCACAGUAUAGCAUGUUGUCAACAAUGAUAAAGUCAUAGUAUAGCAUGUUAUGUUGUUAGCAUGUGUUAAAAAAGUCAGAAUAGCAUGGCAUCAAAAAUGUGUUAAAAGUGACAUAGAAUGUCAACAAAAAUACAUAUCAUCUCACCAAAAUUGUGAUAAAAAUAUCACAGUAUAGGAUGUUGUUAAAAAUUGGAUUAUAAUGUCACAGCAUGGGAUAUCAAAUAUCGGAUCAAAAAGUCGUAUAGCAUGUUGAGAAUGAGUCAUUGUCAUUGAAUAGCAUAACAUCAAAAUGUGAUAAAAAUGUCAUAGUAUAGGAUGUCAAUUUUUUUUUUCAAAAAGGUUAAAAUAAAAGUCAUAAUAUAGUAAGGUAUCAAAUAGCAUUUUCUUUUUCCCAUUGACUCAGUAACAUAACUUUACCUUAUGUUGUAUAUCCCACCUGUCUAGGCACAGGACGGAACUUUGCCCAUGUAUGUGUUGAUUUGUUUCUGCAUAUUACUUGAGUUUUGUUGUUUACAGUGUUUACAGUCAGGUUUCUGAUUAAUGUUAGCAUGUUCACAACCUAACUUGUAGGUUAUGUUAGAUUUUGUGUUUGUCAUUUCAUUUUGAUGUUUGUUUAAAUAAAUACUUCUGA